GCGACCGUCGUAUAACGGCUAUUACCCCAGCCUUCCAAGCUGGAGACGUGGGUUCGACUCCCAUCGGUCGCUCGA
rnacentral:tRNA from 2 species